rnacentral:rRNA from 1 species
GAUGAACGCUGGCGGCGUGCCUAACACAUGCAAGUCGAACGAAGCACUGUCGAAUGAGGAUUCGUCUGAAUUUGGCUUUGACUUAGUGGCGGACGGGUGAGUAAUGCGUGAGCAACCUGCCUUUCAGAGGGGGACAACAGUUGGAAACGACUGCUAAUACCGCAUAUGCCUAAGCACCACAUGGUGCAAUAGGGAAAGGAGCAAUCCGCUGAUAGAUGGGCUUGCGUCUGAUUAGCUAGUUGGUGGGGUAAAGGCCUACCAAGGCGACGAUCAGUAGCCGGACUGAGAGGUUGAACGGCCACAUUGGGACUGAGAUACGGCCCAGACUCCUACGGGAGGCAGCAGUCGGGAAUAUUGCGCAAUGGAGGAAACUCUGACGCAGUGACGCCGCGUGCAGGAAGAAGGUUUUCGGAUUGUAAACUGCUUUAGACAGGGAAGAAACAAGACAGUACCUGUAGAAUAAGCUCCGGCUAACUACGU